rnacentral:rRNA from 1 species
GACGAACGCUGGCGGCGUGCUUAACACAUGCAAGUCGAGCGGAAAGGCCUCUUCGGGGGUACUCGAGCGGCGAACGGGUGAGUAACACGUGAGUAAUCUGCCCUUCACUCUGGGAUAGCCACCGGAAACGGUGAUUAAUACCGGAUACGACACGUCCAGGCAUCUGGCGCGUGUGGAAACUUUUUGGGUGGGGGAUGUGCUCGCGGCCUAUCAGCUUGCUGGUGGGGUAAUGGCCUACCAAGGCUUCGACGGGUAGCCGGCCUGAGAGGGUGACCGGCCACACUGGGACUGAGACACGGCCCAGACUCCUACGGGAGGCAGCAGUGGGGAAUAUUGGACAAUGGGCGGAAGCCUGAUCCAGCAACGCCGCGUGAGGGAUGACGGCCUUCGGGUUGUAAACCUCUUUCAGCACCGACGAAGCGAUCCUUUGGGGAGUGACGGUAGGUGCAGAAGAAGGACCGGCCAACUACGUGCCAGCCGCCGCGGUAAGAC